rnacentral:rRNA from 1 species
GAUGAACGCUGGCGGCGUCCCUAAUACAUGCAAGUCGAGCGAACGGACGAGAAGCUUGCUUCUCUGAUGUUAGCGGCGGACGGGUGAGUAACACGUGGAUAACCUACCUAUAAGACUGGGAUAACUUCGGGAAACCGGAGCUAAUACCGGAUAAUAUUUUGAACCGCAUGGUUCAAAAGUGAAAGACGGUCUUGCUGUCACUUAUAGAUGGAUCCGCGCUGCAUUAGCUAGUUGGUAAGGUAACGGCUUACCAAGGCAACGAUGCAUAGCCGACCUGAGAGGGUGAUCGGCCACACUGGAACUGAGACACGGUCCAGACUCCUACGGGAGGCAGCAGUAGGGAAUCUUCCGCAAUGGGCGAAAGCCUGACGGAGCAACGCCGCGUGAGUGAUGAAGGUCUUCGGAUCGUAAAACUCUGUUAUUAGGGAAGAACAUAUGUGUAAGUAACUGUGCACAUCUUGACGGUACCUAAUCAGAAAGCCACGGCUAACUACGUG